GUGCCAGCCCCGCGGUUAUACGAGAGGCCCUAGUUGAUUUAAUCGGCGUAAAGAGUGGUUAUGGAGAGUUAAAAAAUAGAGCUGAAGACCUCUCGGGCCGUAAUACGCAUCCAGCAAGUUCGAAUCACAAACACGAAAGUAGCUUUCACCUUCUUCCACCAGAAUCCACGACAGCUAGGGACACAAA
rnacentral:rRNA from 1 species